CCAAGGGUAAAAAAUAUGUCCCCGAAGUCCCAUCGGCGUCAUUGUCGCCGGUUCGGGGUCAGGGACGCGACAAGUAACGCCCCGGUAUUCCCACUGCAGGGUAGAGCCAUGUGAUGAAGGCAACCUUACAGAUCCCAGCAAAUGUUGCUUUCCCAACGUUCUCUAGGACAUCAAGACCACGGCCCUGGAAACACACUGCAGCUUAAAGGCAGAAACAUGAGUGACGACAGCAGUGAUUGCGACAAGUACCGCCGGCAUCCGUAUCGGACACUUCGCCCCAGCGACUACCAAAGCGGUGCAGCAAAUUGGAUGGCUUCACAAAUGGCUC